rfam:Salmo salar isolate Sally breed double haploid chromosome ssa09, whole genome shotgun sequence.
UAGCUCAGUUGGUAGAGCAUGGUGUUUGCAAUGCCAGGGUUGUGGGUUCAAUUCCCAC